rnacentral:rRNA from 1 species
UACGUAGGGGGCUAGCGUUGUCCGGAAUCAUUGGGCGUAAAGAGCGUGUAGGCGGUCCGGUAAGUCCGCUGUGAAAGUCGGGGGCUCAACCCUCGAAUGCCGGUGGAUACUGUCGGGCUAGAGUUCGGAAGAGGCGAGUGGAAUUCCUGGUGUAGCGGUGAAAUGCGCAGAUAUCAGGAGGAACACCUAUUGCGAAGGCAGCUCGCUGGGACGUAACUGACGCUGAGACGCGAAAGCGUGGGGAGCAAACAGG